UAAUUAAACUUAAUUGGGUUAGCCAGGGUAGUCUGAUUAGCAUAAUUAAUUUAGGCCUCUUAGUAGGCCUGAGGGGUGUGUGUUUCUGUUAGGGAUCCUGUGAGGGAGGUGUUUGAGACUCAAAGUAGGAAAAAUAGUUAAUUCUCCAGGUCAAGGAAGAGGUACUGUAGACAAGUGGGAAAGAAAACAUAUAGAAGUACAGAAGAUUUAGUACAGCUGAAGGCCAUGUAUUCUUUUGAAACUGGUGUGAAAUGUGAGCAAUAAUUACUUCCUGCACUGCAAAGUUAUUGAGAAGUUUCAAGGCAUACAGUUCUGGGUGAUGAGAAGCAAAACUGAAUGAGUAGAAGAAAUGUGAUCAGAAAAACAAUGAGAGCAUGCCUUGAUCUGUUUGCAGAGAAAAGGAAGAGAGUUCAGAGAAGAGUAUGACUUGAUGAGUCAGAUGAAGUUAGGACCUAACAAGAUGGUGCACUGAAAGACUUAUUUAGGAGCUGUAAGAAGCUGGACUUAAUCUUACAGGAUUCCAAGUAUCCUUGCUGAGCUUCUGAGUAUUCCUAAUUUAUAGGAAUAUAUAUCAAAGGAAAGAGCAUAUUAACAGCAUAAGCUA
rnacentral:lncRNA from 1 species